rnacentral:sRNA from 1 species
AUUCUACCCAUGUGGGGAAGGAUGAGAAGCUUCGACUAAGGUUCGAUUCGAGCGCAGCGAGAAAGCGUUGCCGCAGGCAACGACCCGAAGGGCGAAGCGCGCAGCGCUGAGUCAUCCUUCCCUCACCACCA